CAGGGAGACAACAAAAUGUUUAAUAUUAUUUUGUCACCUUAGGUCGAUCGGUAUCUCACGUUCUUGAUUUAUUAAGAACUUCAUUUCCUAAGUUUUUCUAGGUCACACCCAUCAUUUUUCCUGGGCCAUUAGCUCAGGUGGUUAGAGCGCACCCCUGAUAAGGGUGAGGUCCCUGGUUCAAGUCCAGGAUAGCCCAUAUCUCUAUGUUGGGGGUAUAGCUCAGUUGGUAGAGCGCCUGCUUUGCAAGCAGGAUGUCAGCGGUUCGAGUCCGCUUACCUCCACUGAUUACCACCUCUUUCAUAAUUUUUUGAAGGAAAUGUUUUGAGUUGUGAUCAAAUUCUGAACGAAUCUAGCUUCCUAAUUAAAUUCAUUAAGACGCUGGACUCAUUGAAUUAAUUUCAUUGUUUUCAGAGAACCUUGACAACUGCAUAGAUUAUUUUUAAAGACAAUAAGCAUCUUUAAUGAUGCAGAUUUAUUAUUUGUGCGAAUGCAUUAAUAACAAUUCUAUUGAGCUGAUGCUUCAAUUUUUGAAGUUAUU
rnacentral:tRNA from 1 species